UAAACAUGCACUAACAUUAGUUAACCAGGGUCCUUUUGCAGGUAAAGAAGAACCGGACGUCACCUUCAUAAGUGGGGAAGAAUUAACGUGGCAGUUCACGACUUAAGUGCCAAUGCAAAAAUCAGUCUUAUCGGCCAUCCCAUCAGCUGCCCUGCAGUGGCUCAGGUACGUGACCGGGACCCGGAAGAUUGCUGGUUCAAGCCCCCUGGUGUAGCCACGAUAAGAUCUGCACAGCUGUUGGGCCCUUGAGCAAGGCCCUUAACCCCACAUUACUCCCUGCGUGUGGCACUGAGGCUGCCCACUGCUCCCAAGUAACCAGGAUGGGUCACAUGCAGAGGACACAUUACCCCACAGGGUUCAAUAAUGUAUAUCUUCUUCUUCUUCUUCUUCUUCUUCUUCUUCUCUGUGCCCUUGGCUCUGGGGCUCAGUAUAGGCUGCGGGACAAGCUUACACUCCUGAGUGAAAUCACGUCCAGUCAGCGUGUUCGCCGUGCUGUCUGUUUGAAGAACCAAAUUAAAGUUUUUAAGACACCUCA